GUCCCCCACACUGGUACUGAGACACGGACCAGACUCCUACGGGAGGCAGCAGUGAGGAAUAUUGGUCCAUGGGCGAAAGCCUGAACCAGCCAUGCCGCGUGAAGGAUGACAGCCCUAUGGGUUGUAAACUUCUUUUGUACGGGAAGAAACGCUUCUACGUGUAGAGGUUUGACGGUACCGUACGAAUAAGCAUCGGCUAACUCCGUGCCAGCAGCCGCGGUAAUAACGGAGGAUGCAAGCGUUAUCCCGGAUAUAUUGGGUUUACAGGGUACGUAGGCGGGAGCUUAAGUCAGUGGUGAAAUCCUGCAGCUUAACUGUAGAACUGUCAUUGAUACUGGGCUUCUUGAAUGUAGUUGAGGUAGGCGGAAUGUGUAAUGUAGCGGUGAAAUGCUUAGAUAUUACACAGAACACCGAUUGCGAAGGCAGCUUACUAAACUACGAUUGACGCUGAGGUACGAAAGCGUGGGGAGCGAACAGGAUUAGAUACCCUGGUAGUCCACGCUGUAAACGAUGAUCACUCGUUGUUGGCAAUACACCGUCAGCGACUGAGCGAAAGCAUUAAGUGAUCCACCUGGGGAGUACGACCGCAAGGUUGAAACUCAAAGGAAUUGACGGGGGCCCGCACAAGCGGAGGAACAUGUGGUUUAAUUCGAUGAUACGCGAGGAACCUUACCUGGGCUUAAAUGUAGAACGACGGACCGGGAAACUGGUCUUUCUUCGGACGGUCUGCAAGGUGCUGCAUGGCUGUCGUCAGCUCGUGCCGUGAGGUGUCGGGUUAAGUCCCAUAACGAGCGCAACCCUCAUCAUUAGUUGCCAGCGGGUAAUGCCGGGGACUCUAAUGAAACUGCCGGUGUAAACCGAGAGGAAGGUGGGGAUGACGUCAAGUCAGCACGGCCCUUAUGUCCAGGGCUACACACGUGUUACAAUGGUCGGUACAAAGGGCAGCUACCUGGCGACAGGAUGCUAAUCUCGAAAACCGAUCUCAGUUCGGAUCGAAGUCUGCAACUCGACUUCGUGAAGCUGGAUUCGCUAGUAAUCGCGCAUCAGCCAUGGCGCGGUGAAUACGUUCCCGGGCCUUGUACACACCGCCCGUCAAGCCAUGGAAGCUGGGGGUACCUGAAGUC
rnacentral:rRNA from 1 species